rnacentral:rRNA from 1 species
UUAAGUUAAUAAGGGCGCACGGUGGAUGCCUUGGCACUAGGAGCCGACGAAGGACGUGACAAACGACGAUAUGCCUUGGGUAGCUGUAAGUAAGCGAUGAUCCAGGGAUUUCCGAAUGGGGGAACCCAACAGGUAAUACCUGUUACCUACAUCUGUUAAGGAUGUGAGGAGGAAGACGCAGUGAACUGAAACAUCUAAGUAGCUGCAGGAAGAGAAAGCAAAAGCGAUUGCCUUAGUAGCGGCGAGCGAAACGGCAGAAGGGCAAACCGAAGAGUUUACUCUUCGGGGUUGUAGGACUGCAAUGUGGACUCAAAGAUUAUAGAAGAAUGAUUUGGGAAGAUCAGCCAAAGAGAGUAAUAGCCUCGUAUUUAAAAUAGUCUUUGUACUUAGCAGUAUCCUGAGUACGGCGGGACACGUGAAAUCCCGUCGGAAUCUGGGAGGACCAUCUCCCAACCCUAAAUACUCCCUAGUGACCGAUAGUGAACCAGUACCGUGAGGGAAAGGUGAAAAGCACCCCGGGAGGGGAGUGAAAUAGAACCUGAAACCGUGUGCCUACAACAAGUUCGAGCCCGUUAAUGGGUGAGAGCGUGCCUUUUGUAGAAUGAACCGGCGAGUUACGUUAUGAUGCGAGGUUAAGUUGAAGAGACGGAGCCGUAGGGAAACCGAGUCUGAAUAGGGCGCCUUAGUAUCAUGACGUAGACCCGAAACCAUGUGACCUACCCAUGAGCAGGUUGAAGGUGCGGUAAGACGCACUGGAGGACCGAACCAGGGCACGUUGAAAAGUGCUUGGAUGACUUGUGGGUAGCGGAGAAAUUCCAAACGAACUUGGAGAUAGCUGGUUCUCUCCGAAAUAGCUUUAGGGCUAGCGUCGACAUUAGAGAUUCUUGGAGGUAGAGCACUGUUUGGGUGAGGGGUCCAUCCCGGAUUACCAAUCUCAGAUAAACUCCGAAUGCCAAUGAAUUAUGGUCGGCAGUCAGACUGCGAGUGCUAAGAUCCGUAGUCGAAAGGGAAACAGCCCAGACCACCAGCUAAGGUCCCAAAAUAAUUGUUAAGUGGAAAAGGAUGUGGGGUUGCACAGACAACUAGGAUGUUAGCUUAGAAGCAGCUAUUCAUUCAAAGAGUGCGUAAUAGCUCACUAGUCGAGUGACCCUGCGCCGAAAAUGUACCGGGGCUAAAACAAUUUACCGAAGCUGUGGAUACCUUUAUAGGUAUGGUAGGAGAGCGUUCUAUGUGUGAUGAAGGUAUACCGUGAGGAGUGCUGGAACGCAUAGAAGUGAGAAUGCCGGUAUGAGUAGCGAAAGACAGGUGAGAAUCCUGUCCACCGUAAGACUAAGGUUUCCAGGGGAAGGCUCGUCCGCCCUGGGUUAGUCGGGACCUAAGGAGAGACCGAAAGGUGUAUCCGAUGGACAACAGGUUGAUAUUCCUGUACUAGAGUAUGUAGUGAUGGAGGGACGCAGUAGGCUAACUAAAGCAGACGAUUGGAAGAGUCUGUCUAAGCAGUGAGGUGUGAAUUGAGUCAAAUGCUUAAUUCUAUAACAUUGAGCUGUGAUGGGGAGCGAAGUUUAGUAGCGAAGUUAGUGACGUCACACUGCCAAGAAAAGCUUCUAGCGUUUAAACAUACUCUACCCGUACCGCAAACCGACACAGGUAGUCGAGGCGAGUAGCCUCAGGUGAGCGAGAGAACUCUCGUUAAGGAACUCGGCAAAAUGACCCCGUAACUUCGGGAGAAGGGGUGCUGACUUAAAGUCAGCCGCAGUGAAUAGGCCCAAGCAACUGUUUAUCAAAAACACAGCUCUCUGCUAAAUCGUAAGAUGAUGUAUAGGGGGUGACGCCUGCCCGGUGCUGGAAGGUUAAGAGGAGUGCUUAGCGUAAGCGAAGGUAUGAAUUGAAGCCCCAGUAAACGGCGGCCGUAACUAUAACGGUCCUAAGGUAGCGAAAUUCCUUGUCGGGUAAGUUCCGACCCGCACGAAAGGCGUAAUGAUUUGGGCACUGUCUCAACGAGAGACUCGGUGAAAUUUUAGUACCUGUGAAGAUGCAGGUUACCCGCGACAGGACGGAGAGACCCCAUGGAGCUUUACUGCAGUUUGAUAUUGAGUGUCUGUACCACAUGUACAGGAUAGGUAGGAGUCUAAGAGAUCGGGACGCCAGUUUCGAAGGAGACGCUGUUGGGAUACUACCCUUGUGUUAUGGCCACUCUAACCCAGAUAGGUGAUCCCUAUCGGAGACAGUGUCUGACGGGCAGUUUGACUGGGGCGGUCGCCUCCUAAAAGGUAACGGAGGCGCCCAAAGGUUCCCUCAGAAUGGUUGGAAAUCAUUCGCAGAGUGUAAAGGUAUAAGGGAGCUUGACUGCGAGAGCUACAACUCGAGCAGGGACGAAAGUCGGGCUUAGUGAUCCGGUGGUUCCGUAUGGAAGGGCCAUCGCUCAACGGAUAAAAGCUACCCUGGGGAUAACAGGCUUAUCUCCCCCAAGAGUUCACAUCGACGGGGAGGUUUGGCACCUCGAUGUCGGCUCGUCGCAUCCUGGGGCUGUAGUCGGUCCCAAGGGUUGGGCUGUUCGCCCAUUAAAGCGGCACGCGAGCUGGGUUCAGAACGUCGUGAGACAGUUCGGUCCCUAUCCGUCGCGGGCGUAGGAAAUUUGAGAGGAUCUGCUCCUAGUACGAGAGGACCAGAGUGGACUUACCGCUGGUGUACCAGUUGUCUUGCCAAAGGCAUCGCUGGGUAGCUAUGUAGGGAAGGGAUAAACGCUGAAAGCAUCUAAGUGUGAAACCCACCUCAAGAUGAGAUUUCCCAUGAUUAUAUAUCAGUAAGAGCCCUGAGAGAUGAUCAGGUAGAUAGGUUAGAAGUGGAAGUGUGGCGACACAUGUAGCGGACUAAUACUAAUAGCUCGAGGACUUAUCCAA